UAAGACUGGAUAGGAAGAAAUAAGGCAUCUUAUUUCUUUUAAAAGACCUAGUAAUAGGUAUACUUUAGGAGGGGCUUGCGCCAUAUUAGUUAGUUGGUAGGGUAAUGGCCUACCAAGACGAUGAUGUGUAGCUGGACUGAGAGGUUGAACAGCCACAUUGGGACUGAGACACGGCCCAAACUCCUACGGGAGGCAGCAGUAAGGAAUUUUCGGCAAUGGAGGAAACUCUGACCGAGCAACGCCGCGUGAACGACGAAGUACUUUGGUAUGUAAAGUUCUUUUAUCAAGGAAGAAAAGCAAGUGGCGAACCAUUUGUUUGCCGGUACUUGAUGAAUAAGCCCCGGCUAAUUAUGUGCCAGCAGCCGCGGUAAGACAUAAGGGGCAAGUGUUAUCCGGAAUUAUUGGGCGUAAAGGGUGCGUAGGCGGUCUAGUAAGUCAGUGGUGUAAUGGCAACGCUCAACGUUGUCCGGCUAUUGAAACUGCUAAACUUGAGUUAGAUAGAGGCGAGUGGAAUUCCAUGUGUAGCGGUAAAAUGCGUAAAUAUAUGGAGGAACACCAGAGGCGUAGGCGGCUCGCUGGGUCUUAACUGACGCUGAGGCACGAAAGCGUGGGGAGCAAACAGGAUUAGAUACCCUGGUAGUCCACGCCGUAAACGAUGAGUACUAAGUGUCGGGUUAAACCGGUACUGAAGUUAACACAUUAAGUACUCCGCCUGAGUAGUACGUACGCAAGUAUGAAACUUAAAGGAAUUGACGGGACUCCGCACAAGCGGUGGAUCAUGUUGUUUAAUUCGAAGAUACCCGAAAAACCUUACCAGGUCUUGACAUGUUUUUGCGAAACGGUAGUAAUAUCGUAGAGGUUAUCAGAAACACAGGUGGUGCAUGGUUGUCGUCAGCUCGUGUCGUGAGAUGUUAGGUUAAGUCCUAAAACGAGCGAAACCCUUAUCGUUAGUUGCCAGCACGUUAUGGUGGGGACUUUAACGAGACUGCCAGUGAUAAACUGGAGGAAGGUGAGGAUCACGUCAAAUCAGCAUGCCCCUUAUGACCUGGGCUACAAACGUGAUACAAUGGCUGUUACAAAGGGUAGCUGAAACGUAAGUUCUUGGCCAAUCCCCAAAAACAGUCUCAGUCCGGAUUGAAGUCUGCAACUCGACUUCAUGAAGUUGGAAUCGCUAGUAAUCGCGAAUCAGCAUGUCGCGGUGAAUACGUUCUCGGGGUUUGUACACACCGCCCGUCAAACCACGAAAGUUGGCAAUACCCCAAAAUGGUAGCCUAACUCGUUUAUUCGAGAGGGCGCUGUCUAAGGUAGGGUCGAUGAUUGGGGUUAAGUCGUAACA
rnacentral:rRNA from 1 species